GGCUUGUUGAUUAUAAUUUCAGGUCUGACCUGCCCAAUGAUGUAAUUUAAUGGCCGCGGUAUAUUGACCGUGCAAAGGUAGCAUAAUCAUUAGUUUUUUAAUUGGAAGCUUGUAUGAAGGGUUUGAUGAGGGAAUUUCUGUCUCUGUAAAAAUUAGUUAGAAUUUUAUUUUUAAGUAAAAAAGCUUAAAUUUUCAUAGAAGACGAGAAGACCCUAUAGAGUUUUAUAUUUAUAAUUGAGUAAAAAUUUAGAGAAAAGAGGUUUUAUUUAUUUGUGAAUGUUUAGUUGGGGUGAUGAGAAAAUUUGAUAAACUUUUUUUGUAUAUAUACAUUAAUUUGUGAAUAUAUGAUCCUAAAAUUUAGAUUAUAAGAAUUAAUUACCUUAGGGAUAACAGCGUAAUUUUUUUUAGAGUUCUUAUCGAAAAAAAAGUUUGCGACCUCGAUGUUGGAUUAAAAUUUAUUAUUGGUGAAGAAGCUAGUAUAUUAGGUCUGUUCGACCUUUAAAAU
rnacentral:rRNA from 1 species